GCAGCCGCGUCACUGCCUGAGUGUUGACGUCCAAGCAGACAGUUGUAAUUAUAGUUUUCGAUUUGGUUUUUCUUGCCUGUUCUGUUUGGCAGUCGAGUUAUAUCACUUGAAUUUAGAAAUAUAUUGCAGUAUAAAACUCAGCAAUGUUUAAUCCAAGCAACACGAAGGAAUUAUACACAAGAAGCAGGAGGGAUGCCAGUAGUGAAAAGUGGUCCCAACAGUUUAUGAGUGAUUCACAGGAUUGGGGUACUCAGUUCUCCAAUUCGCAGGAUAUUCAGCGUCCUUCAGCAGCCCUGUCGGACAGAUAUCCAUCAUUUAU